CCCGGCGCGAGCCCCGGAUUGGCUGGGGCGACGUGCGCGGGCGGUGACUCAGCGUCCCCGGCUCUCAAGUAGGGAUCGCGUCAGAGGUAAUUUGACUAGAUUGCACAAAGAAAGAAUUGAUCACUGGAAGCAAAAGCUUUCUGUUCGCCACAGCUCUUUCCACCAGAAAGCAUAAACAUGAUUUUCCACCUGGGCUCCCCAGCUGGCUCCUGGUACUUGGUAUGAUGGAGAGUACCGUGGUUAUGCAUGAACGUUGGGUUACAAGCACCCUGGCAUCAGAACCUCUGUUAAACAUUUUCACGCACAGCAUCUGAUGGUGUGCUGCACGUGGAAAAUACUUGUUGCCUCAAGACUAUCUCUCUGCAGAGGAAAUACAGAGAGCAGAGAAACGUGUUAAAGAGCACCAUGAGGAUGCAACCAGCACAGUCCAGACAGUGGGAACUUUACGUACAGGAUGAACAACCAAGUUGCAAGGAAAAGCAAAACGAUAGAGGUGGAGAGGGAACCUACAGAUCUAAAAAUACUUAAAAUAUACAUCAACCACUAGCGGUGCGUGGACCUUAUUUGGAUCCUGAAUCGAAGAAACAAACGGUGAAGGGAAAAACUUAUGAGACCAGUGACUGGAUAUUUGAUACUAAGGAAUUAGUGUUAACUUUUUAAGGUGUGACAGUGGUCAAAGUCCUUAUCUUUUAAGGACACAUACUCAAAUA